rnacentral:lncRNA from 1 species
AUGUUUGCUCGGGAGCCGCAAGGACUUGACAACAGAUUUAGGGGAAAAGAAUCUUUGGCGGAGAGCACAGGUACCCAGGCGCAAGGACAGCGUUUUAGGUUACUAUGAAUAAUGCUGCUGUGAGCAUUCUGUGCACAUUCACAAGAACGUCUGUGUGGGUGAGUGGUGUUCCUAGCCACUCUUUCCUGUCUUUCUUCCGCCUUCCCAUACACUCUGCCAGGCACAGUUCUGAUCUCCCAGGAUCUAUGUAACUCAGGACUGUGCCCAUCCCCAGACGGAGGAGGAAAAAUGACCUCGGUCAAGGUGAGUAGGGCCCGCCUUUCCCGAUUUUGAACUUCCAUCUCAUGGCUAAGAUUGUUGCAUGUUCUUCUUUGCGAGACUCAAGCAGAACAGGCAUGGGAGGGCCCAUCUGCUCCUGGUUCUUUUUUUGUCCCUUUUGAGUUUUCUUUGCAUUUGUUUUUAGUUUUUAUUUUAUUGUAGUGUUAUUUAUUUUAUGAAGUAGAAAAAUUACUAAAAAUGAACAGCUCUGCCACUUUACUACUUCUCUGCAGACAAAUUGUCUGUUUUCAUUUUCUCUUCUCUUUUCCUCACAUUCAUAACUUAUUCAUGGUAUCCAGCUAAUUUAAUUAAUUAAUUAUUCAUUUAUUUAUUUUGCUCUUUAGGGCUGCACCCACACCAUAUGGAAGUUCCCAGGCUAGGAGUCGAAUUGGAACUACAGCUGCUGACCCACAGCACGGCCACAGCAACACAGGAUCCAAGCUGUGUCUGCGACCUGCACCACAGCUUACAGCAGCGCCAGAUCCCUGACCCACUGAGCAAGGCCAGAGAUUGAACCCAUAUCCUCAUGGAUACUAGUUGGAUUCAUUUCCUUGGCACCACAAUGGGAACUCCCUGAUUUAAUUUAAUUUAAUUUUUUUAAGUUUUUUAUUUUAAAAUAAUACUUAAUUGAAGUACAGUUGUUUUACAAUGUUGUGUCAGUUUCUGCUGUAAUAUCCAGCUAAUUUUAAAUUUGACUGCUUUUCUUUAAUAUUAUAUAAUGUUCAUUUUUUUGUGAGUACAUCCCAUUUGCCAUUGAUUUGAUACACCUGUUUGCUUUUAUUUUAUUUUGUUUUUUACUUUUUUGUAACUUUUUGUUUUUAACUACUUCCCACCUACCCAUAGAUAUUUAAAUGGUGUAGGAAUUUGUUUUAAGCAACCCAGCAGUGACAGUUUUCUUCCACAAAACCUCCCCCCCCCAAAUCAUUCCUGAAAAGUCUGUCAAGUUUUUGUCAUUACUAGUCUAUUGUCCUGUGAGCGCAAUGUAGAAAGAAGACACAGUACAUUCGAUCUGUUGACUGUUUUCUGGCUAUAAUAUCUGAGAAAUCUGCAGAUUAAGUUUCUCAAAAUCCAGACUCACUUUCCACCCAUCUUUUUGACCUUCUUGGUGCUGUCCCUUUUCAGGAGGCAGUGACCUUCAAGGAUGUGGCCGUGGUCUUCACAGAGGAGGAGCUGGGGCUGCUGGACCUCACCCAGAGGAAGCUGUACCAGGAAGUGAUGCUGGAGAACUUCCGGAACCUGGUCUCAGUGGGUGAGGAUGGCGCCCUCUCUAACCGAAAGUCAGCUCCUUGGUUUGGCUUCAUGUCCUCAGGUGUUGAAGGCUUUGGGGAUCUUGAAUUUUUAUUUAUUUAUUAUUUUUAGCAAUUUAUUUAUUUAUUUAUUUAUUUAUUGGCCACACUUUUGGCAUAUGGAAGUUCCCGGGCUAGGAAUUGAACCCAUGCCACAGCAGUGACCGAGAGCCACUGCAGUGACAACACCAGAUCCAUAACCUGAUGAGUCACAAGAGUACUCCAUCACACAUCUUUGUUUUUCUUUUUUGGCUGCCCCUGCAGCAUAUGGAAGUCCCUGGGCAAGUGAUCCAAUUCAAACUGCAGCUGUGACCUGCACCACAGCUGUAACAAAACUGGAUCCUUAACCCACUGCACCACAGCAGGGACUCCUGUCAUACAACUAUUUUUAAGGGUCAUAUGACCAUAAAUUACAUUAGCCAUCAAGAAAGACAUACCUAGUAAUAUUUUUCCAUGCUUCCACUCUUGGAACCUAUUUUUCCAUUUCAACAGUGUUUAAUUAAGGACUAGGUUAACUUUUCCAACCAAAGUUUUCAAUUUUUUAUUUGUUUCUUUUUUUGUGUGUAGAAGUUCCUAGGCCUGGGAUCGAACCUAUGCCACACCUGUAACCAGAGCCACAGUAGUGACAAAGCUGGAUCCUUAACUCAUUGAGCCACAAGGGAACUCCUCAAGGUUUUUCUCUUUUAAUAUGAGCCAUGGCAAGGACCAUGUCCCUUGGAGUUCUCUUGUAACGUAGCAGGUUAAGGAUCUGAUGUUUUCACUAUAAUGGCUCAGGCAUGGGUUUGAUCCCUGGCCUGAGAACUUCCACAUAUUGAGGCUGUGACUGAAAAAAAAAAAAGAAGAAAAAAGAAAGAAACGUCCUUUGUUUGUAACCAGAAUCCACAUUUCACGUGUUGGUGAUUUCUGUGUAUCACUUUCGUAGACAUUUCAUGGGAUGACCUCUUUUCUGUUGGUGAUGAAGCUCUGAUAGUUUCUAUCCUGGUUCUUUUUUCUGAAUGCUUAUUAUAGGCUUUUAGGUUUAUUUCAUAGCUCACUAGAGAGCUGGAGUUUUCGAUUUGAAGAACUGGUGUGAUAAGCUAUUUUAUUUCCUGCCAGAGUUUUCCUACAUUGCAUUUUCGAAGAGACAGUCCAAAAGCUUCAGCAGGAACCAGCAAUGGUCUCUCUUGCUUUCUUUUCACCCUAAAGGAUUCUGGCCACCUUUGACUUUUUUCUUCCUUUUAGGGCUGCACCUGUGGCAUAUGGGAGUUCCCCAGCAAGGGGUCGAAUCAGAGCUACAGUUUCCAGCCUUUGCCACAGCCACAGCAAUACUGGAUCCAAGCUGUAUCUGUGACCUCUGUUGCAGCAUGCAGCAACCCAACUUGAACCCACUGAGCAAGGCCAGGGAUCGAAUCCACAUCCUCAUGGAUACCAGUCGGGUUCUUAACCUGCUGAGCCACAAUGAAGACUCCAUCUUUGAUAUUCUUAUUAACAGCAUGUUUGUUGUAUCCCUGUCUUUGGGACAGCUUUUCAGCUUCUCAGCAAAACUUACUUCUCUGUCCCUUUGUUAUUUCAAAUAACUUACUUGAAAGAAAUGUUUUCCUCCUAGGACUUGACUUAAACUCUCAUUAAAAAAGUCAAACUGGGACUCAUUUAUUCAUUGAACAUGCAUUUGUAGAGGAUUCACUGUACUCCAGACUUGAUUCUGGACAGUGGUUAUGAGGAGGAAAGUGUAAAAUACGUUCCAUGUAUCAAGUGUGAAAUACUUCCUGCUUUGAUGCUGCAUUAUGGUGGGAAAGACACAUAUUAAACAACAAAUGGGAGUUCUCAUGUGGCUCAGUGGGUUAAGGAUCCAGCAUUGUCACUACAGCAACUCUGGUCACUGCGGCUUGGGUUCAGUCCCAGGCCCAGGAACCUCCACAUGCCAUGAGUGGAGCCAAAACAAAGCACAAAUGACUUAGUGUGUUAUGUGGGGAAAAGUGCUGUGUAGAACAGGUUCAAGGAUUAUGGAAUGGCCAGGGGUAGAUCGAGUGAGGACAGGGUUGAUUAUUUUACACUGGGUGGUAAAGAGGCCUAGUUGGUGGGCUGCUAUUGAGCUGAGGCCUAAAAGACAUGUGGAGCCAUCUGUGGGUCUGUCUGCCAAGUCUUCCUGGCAGAAUCUAACUCCCAUUCUAGGGUUGGCUUUCAGAGUUUAUACUGUGUCUUCAUCUUCCUUCUCCCAGGGUCCGGUUUUGCAUAAAAGGUUACCUUCUAUGUUUUCACUUUUUUCCUUAGAAGUCUGAAUUAGUAUCAGGUUUUAGAACAGUGUGUGUUACCUGUUCAACUUUAUUUCCCUUUUUUCCUACUGAAGAACACGUGCCAGUGGGAGCUAAAGUUCCAUUCUCUGCUUUCACUGUGUUUUUUUCAGUGUGUGACUAGAUAUUUCUCCCAGACCAGCCAGUCAUUCUAGCCAUUCUAGUCACCUCAUUAAAGUAACUUUCCAAUAAGAUGACAUAAGGCAGAGUUAUAGGGAGGCUGUUUAUCAUAUGUCUCCUGGAUCAAAAGAGGAGGCAGCUUUAAAGGGAGGAGAGUGAAUUUCUCUUUUGUAAAAAUUUCAUCACAAGUACUUGCUUUUUUUUUUUUUUUUUUUUAAAGACUGUUUUGGGAGUUCCCGUCGUGGCGCAGUGGUUAACGAAUCCGACUAGGAACCAUGAGGUUGCGGGUUCGGUCCCUGCCCUUGCUCAGUGGGUUGACGAUCCGGCGUUGCCGUGAGCUGUGGUGUAGGUUGCAGACGCGGCUCGGAUCCUGCGUUGCUGUGGCUCUGGCGUAGGCCAGGGGCUACAGCUCCGAUUCAACCCCUAGCCUGGGAACCUCCAUAUGCCGCGGGAGCGGCCCAAGAAAUAACAAC